rnacentral:rRNA from 1 species
AACAGGAUUAGAUACCCUGGUAGUCCACGCCCUAAACGAUGUCAACUGGUUGUUGGGAGGGUUUCUUCUCAGUAACGUAGCUAACGCGUGAAGUUGACCGCCUGGGGAGUACGGCCGCAAGGUUGAAACUCAAAGGAAUUGACGGGGACCCGCACAAGCGGUGGAUGAUGUGGUUUAAUUCGAUGCAACUCGAAAAACCUUACCUACCCUUGACAUGUCAGAGAUCCCGCAGAGAUGUGGGAGUGCUCGAAAGAGAAUCUGAACACAGGUGCUGCAUGGCCGUCGUCAGCUCGUGUCGUGAGAUGUUGGGUUAAGUCCCGCAACGAGCGCAACCCUUGUCAUUAGUUGCUACGAAAGGGCACUCUAAUGAGACUGCCGGUGACAAACCGGAGGAAGGUGGGGAUGACGUCAGGUCAUCAUGGCCCUUAUGGGUAGGGCUACACACGUCAUACAAUGGCCGGGACAGAGGGCUGCCAACCCGCGAGGGGGAGCUAAUCCCAGAAACCCGGUCGUAGUCCGGAUCGCAGUCUGCAACUCGACUGCGUGAAGUCGGAAUCGCUAGUAAUCGCGGAUCAGCUUGCCGCGGUGAAUACGUUCCCGGGUCUUGUACACACCGCCCGUCACACCAUGGGAGCGGGUUCUGCCAGAAGUAGUUAGCCUAACCGCAAGGAGGGCGAUUACCACGGCAGGGUUCGUGACUGGGGGUGAAGUCGUAACAAGGUAACC